UACAGAGGCCUCGAGCGUUAGGCGGAAUCACUGGGCUUAAAGCGCGUGUAGGCGGAUCGUUAAGUGUCUUGUGAAAUCCCACGGCUCAACCGUGGAACUGCUGGGCAUACUGGCGAUCUUGGGCCACUCAGGGGCAACCGGAACAAGCGGUGGAGCGGUGAAAUGCGUAGAUAUCGCUUGGAACGCCAAAGGUGAAGACAGGUUGCUGGGGGUGUGCCGACGCUGAGACGCGAAAGCCAGGGGAGCAAAC
rnacentral:rRNA from 1 species